rnacentral:tRNA from 1 species
UCCCUGGUGGCUCAGAUGGUAAAGCAUCUGCCUACAAUGUGGGAGACCCAGGUUUGAUUCCUGGGUCGGGAA